CGGACCUUCUGCCAGAUGAAAAUUAGAGAGACCCCAGGUUGGCUAGGUUCCGUGGCAUGUCAGGAGCGAAAGCAGUAAGUCGCCUCAGCCACUCAUACAUUGUGCGCCCUCGCCACUCAGGAGAGAAAGACACAUAAGUCCAUUCACCAGAUGCAUUCCUGAGAUUUCGGGAGCAGGACUCGCCUCCGUCCAGAGUCAAGAGGGAACCUGUCACUGCUGUCACCAUUACCGUACUCCUGAGUCUGGGAGCAGCCUGGGCAGCAGAUGCUGGACCUUGAUACUUUGGACUUGGGAGUGGCUCUCUCCUUUCCCGGAGCAUUAUAAAACUUCAGCCCAGAGGCUCCAGCUCUGCUAGCUGCAUCCUAUUUCCCUGCUCUGGCAGGUCAGUCUGUGAAGACAUCAGCUCCUUCUUUGGCGUACUGAUGGCAGCAGAGCCCCUGACUGAACUGGAGGCGGCCAUUGAGACCAUAAUCGACAUAUACCACAAUUAUGCAAUAACGGAAGAAGGAGCUCCCAGACUGAGCUUCAAUGCGUUUAAUAAAAUGGUCACCCAGCAGCUGCCUCAUUUUCUCAAGGGAGGUCAAUCUGUGAGGACAUCAGCUCCUUCUUUGGCAUACUGAUGGCAGCAGAGUCCCUGACUGAACUGGAGGCGGCCAUUGACACCAUAAUGGAGAAUUUACACACUUACGCAUUGGUGGAAGACCGAGGUUUCUACCUGAGCUUCACAGUGUUUAAGGACCCUUGCAGUUUUUGUAGUCUCCUGUUUUGGCCUCCUGGGUGUUAGUCAGGAUUCAGACACAAGUGUCUUGGCUUUCCCAGGACCUUCAGUCUCUUGACUGCUCUGUUUUCCUUUCCUUCCAUCAACUUCAUCUCCUCAUGGAUCUUCUUGUUUAGUUUGCUUUCUGAGACACAUCAUUCUAAUCCUGCUUACAAACCUGCUGAUUCUGUCUCUGUGUUGUCAGUCAGGGACCGCCUACCGCCACAUUUUGUCUAUAUUUACCACCUGCAUCUGGUAGGUCCAGCCUGAGCCUAAUUUCCAGAAGUGGUGAAGAGAACUCAGGAGACAGAUCUCAUCGAUGCAAAAAAGCAAGAGGUUUAUUUUAACCAUUGUGCUAUGGGGUCACCCCUGCUGGUCAGCAAGGAGUGGCACUGGGAGACAAGGCUUUGGGUUUUUAAAAGACAAGGUGCAAGAAUUUUCAGUGGUUGCAGUCUUGGCAUUUCUGGAUUGGAUGAGGUAUUUAAAUUUUAAAAUAAUUGGUUGGUUCUGGGCACCCUUAGGUCCUUGCAGCCCUGUCUUAAAUAUCUGGGGAGUAUCUGAUCUUCAAGUCAGUUUGGAAUUUCCUGCCAUAUGAGAUAUAGCUGCAGUUAAAGGUGGGAGAGUGAUUAACUCCUCCCGUGUCUGUUCUGAAGUGUGGGGGCUACAGGCUUUGGAUCAAAGUUGAAGAGCUAUUCAGAAGUAGGAUUGGGGCCAUUUGGCCCAGUUUCCAAACAAAGUUUAUCUUACAGGUGCUGGCUGGCGAUUUUCUCUCCACCUAGUAGAAAUCUCUUCUUGUUCUCUUCCUUAUCUCUGCUCUCACAGAUGGUCAGUGUCAGGAACUUUGAUAUUCCUCUGUUCUCUGGGGAAGCACUAAGAGGCUUUAAUUAACAUGGGCCUAAUACUUGAAAAUGUAAAUUAUAAGGCAAUUAAAUAAACAUAAGUU